UACAGAGGUCUCAAGCGUUGUUCGGAUUCAUUGGGCGUAAAGGGCGCGUAGGCGGCGGGGUAAGUCGGGUGUGAAAUCUCAGGGCUCAACCCUGAAACUGCACUCGAUACUGCUCUGCUUGAGGACUGGAGAGGAGACUGGAAUUCACGGUGUAGCAGUGAAAUGCGUAGAGAUCAUGAGGAAGACCAGUGGCGAAGGCGGGUCUCUGGACAGUUCCUGACACUGAGACACGAAGGCCAGGGGAGCAAACGGG
rnacentral:rRNA from 1 species